rnacentral:rRNA from 1 species
GACGAACGCUGGCGGCGUGCUUAACACAUGCAAGUCGAACGGAAAGGCCUGCUUUCCCUUGUGGAUUGCGGGUACUCGAGUGGCGAACGGGUGAGUAACACGUGAGUGAUCUGCCCCCAACUUGGGUAUAAGCCUGGGAAACUGGGUCUAAUUCCCGAUAGGACUGCAGGGUGGUGCCUGUGGUGGAAAACGAUUUUCUAGUGGUUGGGGAUGAGCUCGCGGCCUAUCAGCUUGUUGGUGGGGUAAUGGCCUACCAAGGCGGCGACGGGUAGCCGGCCUGAGAGGGUGGACGGCAACAUUGGGACUGAGAUACGGCCCAGACACCUACGGGAGGCAGCAGUGGGGAAUAUUGCACAAUGGGCGGAAGCCUGAUGCAGCGACGCCGCGUGGGGGAUGACGGCCUUCGGGUUGUAAACUCCUUUCGACCGCGAGGAAGCCACCUGGUUGGAAGGGUGGUGACGGUAGUGGUAGAAGAAGCACCGGCUAACUACGUG